UACGGGGGGGGUAAGCGUUGUUCGGAAUUACUGGGCGUAAAGGGCUCGUAGGCGGCCAACUAAGUCGGACGUGAAAUCCCCAGGCUCAACCUGGGAACUGCGUCUGAUACUGGAUGGCUUGAAUCCGGGAGAGGGAUGCAGAAUUCCAGGUGUAGCGGUGAAAUGCGUAGAUAUCUGGAGGAAUACCGGUGGCGAAGGCGGCAUCCUGGACCGGCAUUGACGCUGAGGAGCGAAAGCCAGGGGAGCAAACGGG
rnacentral:rRNA from 1 species